CUAGUUCAUUCUCAUUAGCUGGCCAAAUGAAAACUUCUUUUUAUACAACUUACUUCCAAAUAUGGGUAUAAACAUGGAAUUUAGACCUCUUUAGUUUACAAAAAGAUCUUAUUGAGAAAAUAUCUGAAAAUUAGACCCUUGUUUAGUCACAUAAUGGAAAUUAUAGAAGUAUCUUGAUCUACCAACAAUCUUAGCCCCACA
rnacentral:lncRNA from 1 species